UCAGAUGAUCCACCCACUUCAGCCUUCCAAGGUGCUGGGAUGACAGGCGUGAGCCACCACACCCGGCCUAUAUGCAAGGAGUUUCUAAGAAAGAGCGUGUUCAAGGAAGAGCAUCAGGUAACGUGUUUUGAGAACUCACAACCUGCAGAGGCAGCAGUAAACGUGUCUGAUGCACUUUCCUGAGAAUGUUCAAUUGAGUUAGUGUAAGAAUCCCACCAUUCCGGGUUCCCAUGUCCUCUAACGUAGACAUACCACCUCUGGCUUUGCAGAAGAAACCAUCUGCAAUAGAAAUGACAGCAAUGUCCAUAUUAUCAUUCCCUCUUAUCAUUAGAACAGCUGAUGCCUCUGGAACUGCGCGUACCGGAUUGAAUCCUCACAAAGGGAAAGUCGGAGAUUGGAGAUCAGCCUCAUCUGCAAGGUCAGGCAGGAGUCGUGUACCAGCUAAGCACUGACUCCAACCUGCGUGGAUCUCACCGCAAAGCACAGGCUAAUGUUAACCCCCAGGCCAUUUUCAUGUGGAUCCAGUCUCUGGGACACAUCGCGUGUCAUUUACAUCAAGACUGAGCUUGCAGGAGGGAGGUUUUAUCCUGACAGGACAGACCUUCUGGGUGUUCAGGCUAAUCUCCAACCAUUACCUCCACUCAGGUGUGUGUGGUAAAUCCCAGUUCCUAGGAGCCCCGUGUCACUCUGACCUAAUUCACUUGCUCCCUACGUACUCUCUGGCUGCGUCUGUUUUGUGUUGCUGUGAAGGAAUCUCUGAGGCUGGAUAAUUUAUAAAGAAAAGAGGUUUAUUUGGCUCAUGAUUCUGCUGGCUGGAAAGUUCAAGAUUGGACAUGUGCAUCUGGUAAGGGCCUCGGGCUGCUUCCACUCAGAGCGAGAGAGUGUAUUCCUCUGUUUUCACACUGCUGAUAAAGCCACACCCGAGACUGAGGUUGUUUUGGACUUACAGGUCCACAUGUCCAGGGAAGCCUCACAAUCAUGGUGGAAGGCAAGGAGGAGCAAGUCACAUUUUACAUGGAUGGCAGCAGAUCUCGUGAGACCCUUCCGUUAUGAGAACAACAUGAGGAAGACCCGCCCCCAUAAUUCAGUCAUCUCCCAUUGGAUCCCUCCCACAACCCAUGGGAAUGAUGGGAGCUAGAAGAUGCGAUUUGGGUGGGGACACAGAGAGGAAGGAGAGCCGGGUGUGCAGGGACCACAUGUAGAGACAGGACACAAGAGAGAGCGAGCGAGAGAGAGUGGGGAGCGUCCAGGCUCUUUGGAACAGCCAGCUUUCGUGGGAACUCAUAAGAGAGACACUCUCAAGGAUGAACACUAAUCUGUGCAUGAGGAAUCCACUCCCGUGACCCAAACACCUCCCAUUACUCCCCACUUUCAGCAUUGGUGAUGAAACUUCAGCACGAGGUAUGGAGGGGUACAAACAUCCCAACCAUAGCAUUUCUGAAACCAUGCAAUGAAACCAUCAUUGUCAUAGCAACUCUCAGAAAAGCAGCUCUGAAGUGGGAACGAUGCAUUCUCUGCCUCUCACCAGCAUCAUGAUUUUCAGACUCUGGAAAUUUUGCUUUUGCCUGUUGUGGGUUUGCUCUGUCUUUUCAAUAAAUGUAUCUCUAGCAACAACAAGUGGCUUCUCCCUUGUGAAUGCCUUACGAGAAGUGAGGUAAACACAGUGUAGUGGAAAUAUCGGGAUGCAGCAGGAGCGCCUCAGAAAAUGAGAUCCUGUCCUCCAAUAUCUCCUUUCAUCAUUGGUGCUGGUGCGAUUCAUCUGUCCUUGCUUUGCAGUAGAGAGGUAAACAAAUUUCAAACCCAACGGGCAUCCCUGGUUGCUCCCUCCCCUCUGUCCAGUUAGUGACGGUGUGAGCCAUCCUCCUUUUUUUCCGGCCCUAGCGGUCUAGCAGGAGACAGCAUGCCUGAGUCUGGAGAAAUCCCAGUGGAAGAGACCUGCAUGGUGAAGAACGUCCUGACUCCUCCCAAGAAAGGCAAAUGGCAGUCUUCUAAGGUACUGGCCGAUGAUGGAGCUCCCAUUAGUCAGACGCAUGUGCCCCAGACUUGGAAUCAGGCACAAGAACAUGGCUAUAGUCUGGAUGAUGGUGCCUCUGCCAAAUUCACGUGUCGGAACUUAACCCCCCAGAUAAUGGGUAUUAGGAAGCGUGGGCCAUCAGGAGGUAGGAUGACUGCCCUCAUGCAUGAGCUUGACAGAUUCUGCUGGCUCCUUCUGCCCCUCUGCCAUGUGAGAACACCAGGAAAGCACCAUCUCUGAAGCAGAGAUAGAGCAAGCCCUCAGCAGACACUACGCAUCCCUCAGCAGAUGGAGGCUGAGAACUGGGAGAAGGGUCUUUAUUGCUUGAGCUUAUGGAUGGCAGGAGGCAUCGGGGUCUCAGCAUCUUUAUCUUCACCGAAAAGAAUCCACGUGGAAAAUGCCUUCCCUUCCACACAGUUCACUGGAGACAUGUGAAAACCUGCAACUGACAUUCCUGGCUUUACUCAAGUUUCUGAGGAAAGGGCUCAGCAGAGAAAUAAUUCCUUCCAGGGACUUUAGGCUAUGACCUUGGGAACUGAAAUCUGGAGACAAAGGGAACGGGUGUUUGCCUUCACCUCAUGAAAGACAAUGCUUCACUGUAUACCAGCUCAUACAACGAGAAGAAGUUCGCACGGGCACGCCAGCACGAUCUUCAGAAUCCCUGUGGGUGUAAACAAUGACCCUGCCGGCUUUUGAGACCAGACGCCAAGAACUUAUUCUUUCCCUGAUACUAUUGUUCCUCCUAAUGUCUUUGACAUUGGAAUUCGAUUGAGAAAAAACGAGAGAGCGAGG